GAAAGACUCAGCAUGCUGUGAAGUCCUCAGGAUUGCUGGACCAACGCGUUUAGAAGGUAUUGUUUUAACACUGUAAAGAAGACCUUCCAACAGCCAUGAUGGAUAAAGAGGAUAUGCAUAAAGAGGAGAUCAGUGACACUGACAGUGGGAUCAUAAUCAACUCUGGUCCCGACAGCCCCACGUCGCCAGUCAAGGACUUGACCACUCACACCCGGGCCAUGAGGCUGAAGCAUCAGGUUCUGGAGGAGAAACUGGAACUGUGUCU